UACUCGAGUGGCGAACGGGUGAGUAACACGUGGGUGAUCUGCCCUGCACUCUGGGAUAAGCCUGGGAAACUGGGUCUAAUACCGUAUAGGACCAUGCUUUAGUGUGUGUGGUGGAAAGUUUUUUCGGUGUAGGAUGAGCCCGCGGCCUAUCAGCUUGUUGGUGGGGUAAUGGCCUACCAAGGCGGCGACGGGUAGCCGGACUGAGAGGUUGGUCGGCCACAUUGGGACUGAGAUACGGCCCAG
rnacentral:rRNA from 1 species